CCCAGCAUUACCCCAGUGCAGAACAGACACAAAGAAUUUCUGCACUGAUUCCAGUAGAGAAACACUCAGAAAUACUGCAGUGUCAUAUGUUUGCAGUGCUGCUGUCUUUUUAAGAGAGUGAAAUACAUAUGAGGGUCAAUGAUGAGAAAGAAGAAUUCCUGCGAAUUGAAAUAUUAGGUUGCUGCCAGAAUGCAGUCAGUUACUUUUUUUAAAAUGUGCUAAUCACAAGUCUUCAAGGGCAUAUGCAAAACGAAAUAAUUAACCAAAUAAUUUAAAAAAUGGCUCACUGUCAAUAAAAUAUGUUAGCUGUUGGCUCUAUAGUAUAACUCCACAAAAAUUCCCUCAUCAUUUGAGAAAAAGAGAAUAUAUUCUUACAGUUUACUCCAAAGAUCAUAUAGAGUUCAAUAGGAUGGAAAUCCCUUCUGAAAUAACAAGUACAAAAGAAUCACAAAGAAAAGAGAUUACCCCCAAAUUAGCUGGAAUCAAUUUAUUUUAGAGCUCUGUAACUUAGAACCAAAAAUAUUAAAGUCAUCUAGAAAUCAGUUAGUAGCUAGUAUUGCUUAAUAUGUGGGUCAUUGUGUUAUGCACUAACUGUAUUUUCUGGAUCAUUUUUAGAAGGAGCUGCAGCUUGUGCUCAUUACAAGCCCAUGCCUUCAACUAAAAUAUACAAUAGCAUAAAGACCACUGAGGAGGACACAACCUUCUUGCCAAGAGGAAACAGUGAAAGCAUUUUUGAUGCUCAAAGAUCAGCCUCUGUCCACCUCUGCAUGCCAGAACAGGUAGGUGAUCUGGAGAGAGUCUAAAGGCUUCAACCUGGCUUCUGAGCAGCUGUGGACAGGGGAGAGGGACAGGAGGGCUAUCCAGGAUGGUCUUGUGGAAGUGAGACUGAGUUUCCCUGCCCUGAAGAUACCGUCUUCUUUGCUUUUGUUGUUGUUUUUUUGUUUAACUGAGGUCUUAGGAGAAAUACACAGUCCUUACUGAGUACAGAGCCUGGUGCUCUUAUUGUGCUCCAUUUUGAGUAAAAAUACCAGUGAUUCAGAGUGCUGUGCUGCUCACCCUGGAAAUCUGGA
rnacentral:lncRNA from 1 species